UACGUAGGCAGCAAGCGUUGUUCGGAAUUACUGGGCGUAAAGAGUGUGUAGGCGGUGCCCUAAGUUUGGUGUGAAAUCUCCCGGCUCAACUGGGAGGGUGCAUCGAAAACUGGGGUGCUCGAGGGUGGGAGAGGUAAGCGGAAUUCCUGGUGUAGCGGUGAAAUGCGCAGAUAUCAGGAGGAACACCGGUGGUGUAGACGGCUUUCUGGACCGACACUGACGCUGAGACACGAAAGCGUGGGUAGCAAACAGG
rnacentral:rRNA from 1 species